AUGGCAAAAGCAGCCAUGGACACGCUUCAACUCUCCUGCAUCCAGAUAGCCAUAGCCCUGCUCUUGCUUACUCAAGCCAAGAGCACCACAGAGGACACAUCUCCCCUGCAUCCAAAUGAUACGAGCAUCAGCUGUAUUGCUGACGAGAGGUCUGCCCUUCUUGCCUUCAGGGCAGGUCUAUCCGACCCUGCAAACCUCCUUUCAUCAUGGAAGGGUAAUGACUGCUGCCGAUGGAAGGGCGUCUACUGCAGCAACAGAACCAGCAAUGUUGUCAGGCUAGAUCUCCGAGGCCCUUAUUGCAAAAAUGGCGAUCAGACGCAGGUGCUAGCAGGCAACAUAAGCUCCUCAUUGCUUGGUUUAAAAUAUUUACGGCAUCUCGACCUCAGCUGCAACAGAUUCGACAAGAUACAGAUACCGGAGUUCAUCGGUUCUCUCCAUAAGUUGAGAUAUCUUGACCUAUCAAUGUCAAUGUUCAUCGGAAGGAUACCACCGCAGCUCGGUAAUCUCUCCAACUUACAAUACUUAGAUCUUGAGACCUACUCAUACACAAGUGUUGAUUCUUCUUUCCAUAGUGACACAUACUCCACUGAUAUCACCUGGUUAUCACAGUUAACUUCCGUUGAGCACCUGGAUAUGACUGGGGUGAACCUCAGUACAAUUGUUCAUUGGCUUCCGGUGAUGAACAUGCUUCCAACUCUGAAAUUUCUUUGUCUUAGAGCUUGCCAGCUCAGGGGUAGCCCUGAUUCUCUUCAGUUCUCAAACCUGACCUCUCUUGAAACACUUGACAUUUCGGGCAACGACUUCCAAAAGCGUUGCACGCCCAACUGGUUUUGGGAUUUAACUAGCCUCAAGCAUCUAGAUAUCAGCAACAAUGGUUUCUAUGGCCCUUUUCCGGACGUGAUAGGUAAUAUGACCUCCAUUGUGGAGCUUGAUUUAUCAGGAAAUAACCUUGUGGGCAUGAUACCUUCCAGUAUGAAGAACCUUUGUAAUUUGGAGAGAUUAUUUUCUUUCGGAAAUAACAUCAAUGGGAAUAUAACAGAAUUAUUCCAUCGAUUACCCAGUUGUUCAUGGAAUAAACUACAACACUUGUUUCUACCUAUCAGCAAUCUGACUGGAAGCCUGCCAACUACAAUGGUAAAAUCCUUCAGCAACCUGAGCCGGCUGGAUCUCAGUCAUAACAAACUCACUGGCCAUGUGCCACAGUGGAUAGGAGAGCUCACAAAGCUAACAACACUGGCCCUUGGCUCCAACAAACUUGAUGGGGUCAUUGAUAAAGGCCAUUUAUCCCGUCUAGAUAUGUUAAAGGAACUGACUUUGUCAGACAACUCCAUAGCCAUCACAGUGAGUCCAACUUGGGUUCCUACUUUCAGUCUAAGUUUUAUUCAGCUUCGUUCCUGCCAGUUAGGGCCUAAGUUUCCAACGUGGCUUCAAUGGCAAACACAUGUAGUGAGUCUUGAUGUAUCAAACACAAGCAUUAAUGACAUGGUACCUGAUUGGUUUUGGAUCGCAGCUUCCUCAGUAGUUUUUCUCAAUAUCCGAAAUAAUCAGAUUACAGGAGUCCUCCCAUCAACAAUGGAAUUCAUGAGAGCAGUGGCAAUGGAUUUCAGUUCUAACCAGCUUGGUGGUUCAAUACCUAAGCUUCCCAUCAAUAUAACCUAUCUGGAUCUCAGUCGGAACAAUUUAGUUGGGCCACUACCAUUAGACUUUGGAGCGCCAGGGCUUGAAAGACUUGCUCUAUAUGAUAACAUUAUCUCUGGUGCCAUUCCAUCUUCUUUGUGCAAGUUGCAAUCAUUGCGGUUGUUAGAUCUAUCAAGAAAUAAUCUCAACGGAUCAAUUACUAAUUGCCUAGUAAAUGACUCCAGCACAAACAUGGCAGGUAUGAGUAUCAUUAGUCUAAGCCUAAGAGACAACAACCUCUCAGGUGAUUUUCCUUCGCUUCUCCAGAGAUGCCCAGGACUCAUCUUUCUCGAUCUCGGACAUAAUCAGUUCUCUGGGGCUUUACCAGCAUGGAUUGGGGAGAAACUGUCGUCUUUGUCAUUCUUACGACUGAGAUCCAAUAUGUUUCAUGGUCACAUUCCAGUUGAGCUUACAAUGCUUGUUAAGCUUCAAUAUUUGGACCUUGCCUACAACAAUAUAUCGGGAAGCAUACCGAGAUUUAUGCUUAAUUGUACAUGCAUGAUGCAAACAAGAUUCAACACUAAUGGUCUUCAGAAUGCAUUCGGUUCUAGAGUAUUGGCUGAUGAAAAUGAACUAGUUGACUAUACUGAGAAUUUAACGGUACUCACGAAAGGCCAAGAGAGAUUAUAUACAGGAGAAAUCAUAUAUAUGGUGAAUCUUGAUUUAUCCUGUAAUAGUCUUACUGGAGCAAUACCUGCAGAAAUCAGUACUCUUGUCGCAUUGAAGAGCCUGAACUUAUCAUGGAACAACUUCAAGGGAAAUAUACCUGAGAAUAUUGGAGCCUUAAUUCAAGUGGAAUCACUCGACCUAUCACACAAUGAGCUGUCCGGCGAAAUCCCUUCAAGCUUGUCGGCUCUCACAUCAUUGAGUCGCCUGAACCUGUCCUACAACAAUCUGGGAGGAAAGAUACCAACUGGAAAUCAACUGCAAACACUUGAAGACCAAGCAUCUAUUUAUGUUGGCAACCCAAGUCUCUGCGGGCCUCCUCUCUCUCGGAGAUGUCCACAUCCCGAGCCAAUUCCAGGAGAAAACGACGGAGAUGCAAGCGAUGACUUGGUUUCGUUUUUCCUCGCCAUGGGCUCUGGAUAUGUGAUGGGUCUCUGGGUGGUCUUCUGUACCUUCUUAUUCAAGAGGAGAUGGAGAGUUUUGUGGUACUUGCUCUGUGACAGCCUGUAUGAUUGGGUUUAUGUGCAUGUGGCUGUUACCUGGAGUUCCUUUAGAGGUAAAAUCAAUGGGUAG
rnacentral:rRNA from 1 species